GUCUGAGAUAGCUCACUCGGUAGAGCAUGAGACUCUUAAUCUCAGUGUCAUGAGUUCAAGACUCACUGUGGGCA